rnacentral:rRNA from 1 species
UACGUAGGGGGCAAGCGUUGUCCGGAAUCAUUGGGCGUAAAGAGCGUGUAGGCGGCCCGAUAAGUCCGCUGUGAAAGUCCAGGGCUCAACCCUGGGAUGCCGGUGGAUACUGUCGGGCUCGAGUCCGGAAGAGGCGAGUGGAAUUCCUGGUGUAGCGGUGAAAUGCGCAGUUAUCAGGAGGAACACCAAUGGCGAAGGCAGCUCGCUGGGACGUGACUGACGCUGAGACGCGAAAGCGUGGGGAGCAAACAGG